GAGGGUGUCAGUGGUUAAGAUAUUGGACUUCUAAUCCGAUUGUUGUGAGUUCAAAUCCCAGCACCACCA